GGAGCCUCCACAUAUCUUGCAGCAUCCAGUGGUAGAAAUAUUUGACAGGGUGAGGACCUCGGUGGGCUUCGUACCUGAAACCCCAAUUGCUCUUGAGCUUUCUGCUUGUUCCUCUUCACUGACAGAUUCUAGAUCAUCUGAACAUCAGAGAUUAAGCCAUAUGAGGUUGAUGGCACAACCAAGUCCUUGCGUUCAGAGCUGGUCACGAUAGCUCUCUGCAAAACAACAUAGUAUUGAGCAAGUCAGAGAUCAAGUGGACUGCAGAGCAAUAUACUCUACUCUCAGGGGCAGAACCGAAGCUUUCUUGUUGAGAGCACACGCACACACGUCAUCGAUCAAACUUUCUGGUCACAGUGGACAUGUCAUCACUGCCUAGUACUGACAAAUGACAACUCGAGGCCUCACUUCUCAAGCUGUCUCUUUGGUAAAAAGGUUUGCAUGAAUCAACAAAAACUAGCAGAGACAGCAUGCAGAUCCUGCAGCACACUUGUUUUUAUGCAAUUUUGGAGCAAACCUGAUUCCGGUUAUUAUGGCAGUCCAAAAUUCACAUGUUUACAGGUCAAGUUACAAGAAGAGUGCAAGAAUGAAACUGCAAUACCUUAACAGAACUUGUGAGUUUGUUACAUUUCUUCCUACAUCAAUUUAUCUUUGCGAAUUGUCUGAUACCACAGAACAUACAGGGGUAGAGCUGAAAAGAACAUGGACUGCAAGGACACAGAUACUAUAAAUUCCUGACUGUUACAUUAUAUUUUUCACACUUUUGGUGCAAGUUUUGAACUCACUGAACUAACAAUAUUUAGAUCAUAUAAAUGUUGUGCCUUCAGAACUUAGCAAGUUACAAAAACUUGCUCUAUGUAAAAACUCCAUAACAAAUCCUCACACCGUAUUUCAUUUCCAAAUACCCUAGAGCAUUAAUAUAUUUUGACAGAAAGGGAAACAAGGUUGCUUCCAAAAUAUAAGUCACUAGUAGUGCUUCUUUCAAAGUUUGCGUGCCUGAGUGAAAUUCAAGUAAUAUCUCAAUUUGAAUGACACAUGACUGUUGGUAACACUUUAGCACCUUCAGAGUUACAACACAUAUUCAGUUGAUCAUCAAAGCAGAAAUGUCAAAAAUGCUCAUGGUCUUAAUUCUCUGCUCAUUUUUGUAAAAAAGGUUAAAGGGAAAUGUAAUAGCGCAAUUUAUGAUUGUGUUGAGAACACACUAUAUGUGAUAAAACAGAAAUUAGGGAUUGGAAUAGGAAAAUUUGGGGGAGAAGCUAGAGGAACAGCAAGUUGGGAGAAGAAGAGCAGGGCGGAAUCAGAUCUCAUCCAUCUUCAGUCAUUCAAUCCCACCAGUACAGGCCCCGAGUUGUAUAGCCUACUAUAGAGUAUUACAAAUUGGACUUCUCAACUUUUUGGCCCGACUUGCCAGUCUUCUCAUUCAAAGCAUUAUAGAGAAUUCCGAGGUUGAUAAGUUUUUUAUGACCUUAGAUAAUAGCCAUCGUUGAUUUCAUUUUGCACAUUUCAGAUGUUUCUUCACUCGCGACAAAAAGUGGCAGCUCAACUGGUGACUUUUUUUACAAAAUAAAUCAGUUGAGGCAUACAGUUUAUGUAGCCCAAAGAGAAGUUGCAAAGCAGUGUUUGAAGACACUGGGUGGCGCGGAUGGGCCCAUGGAGUCACAGCCUGGCACGCGGCUAGCACCAACAAAAACGCCACAGAUUUCAACUUCUGAAGCUGACCUGUUGAAGCAGGCUGCUGUAGUAGGUUAUGUGUUCAAA